rnacentral:rRNA from 1 species
UACAGAGGUCUCAAGCGUUGUUCGGAAAUACUGGGCGUAAAGCGCACGUAGGCGGCGCAGCAAGUCAGGGGUGAAAUCCCGGGGCUCAACCCCGGAACUGCCCUUGAAACUGCAGUGCUAGAAUUCUGGAGAGGCGAGUGGAAUUCCGAGUGUAGAGGUGAAAUUCGUAGAUAUUCGGAAGAACACCAGUGGCGAAGGCGACUCGCUGGACAGACAUUGACGCUGAGGUGCGAAAGCGUGGGGAGCAAACAGG